AUGAAACAAGUAGGUUGCAGUUGAAUGAUUUUUUUUUGAAGAGAAAUCUAAAAUAAUGGAUUUUCCUUAUACAGAUGCUUCCUACUUUCAGGAGGCAUUUGAGGCAGACCCCCACUGCAGACUGCUAGCUAAAGCUGAAUCUCGUGGAACUAGAGGUAAACUAGUGACCUAACUAGUUUAGUGGCCGAAGGCCAGCAGAGUCAGUGGCAGGUAUCAACAUAAAGGUUUCCAUUACUGCUGCAAGCAUAAAUUAUUUAAAUGUUGAGACAGAAAGAUACAGUAUAUAUCUAAGCUUUCAAUACAAAGAUAAACUACAACGUACCACAGGUGGCUGUAUUAAAUUACAUAAAAGACACUUGUUCCUUCUGUGCCCUGUUAUAUGAUGUGGGCAAUCAUGCUCUUUCCAUGACCAUGAUUGUUCUUGGCAAAUUUUUCAACAGAUGUGAUUUGGCAUUGCCUUCUUCUGGGCAGUGUCUUUACAACUGGGUGGUGACCCCAGCCAUUGUCAAUAUUCUUCAAAGAUUAUCUGUCUGGCGUUAGUGUUCAGGGCUUGUGAUAUGCACCAGCUGCUCACGCAACCGUCAACUACCUGCUCCCAUGGUUUCACGUGCCCCUGAUUUUGGGUGGGGUGGGGGUGCUAAGCAGGUGCUACACUUUGCCUAAAGCUAACCAGCAAGCUAGUGGAGGGAAGGAGUGUCUUGCACUUCCUUCAGUAGAGACACAUCUUCACCCCACCACCUAAAAACGAGCCAUCAGGUGCAGGAAGUGUUAUAACCCCUCAACCAUCAGACUCCUGAACCAAAGAGGAUAACUUCACUCACCCUAUCAUUGAAAUGUUCCCACAACCUAUGGACUCAAUUUCAAGGACUCCUCAUCUCACACUCUCAAAAAUAUUGCUUACUUAUUUAGUAUUAUUUUGUUCUUUUUGUAUUUGUACAUUUUGCUGUCUUUUGCCUGCUGGCUGUAUGCCCAAGUCUUUCACUGUUAUGGUUAUUAUUCUAUUAUGGAAUUAUUGCAUAUGACUGCAAGAAAAUGAAUCUCAGGGCUGUAUAUGGUGACAUAUAUGUACUUUGAUAAUAAAUUGACUUCAAACUUUGAAAAAAAGAUGUUAAUAGAAUAAAUGGGAAAGAUGUGGUAUAUGGACAUUAUUCCAGAUAAACAAGGUGCUAUCUUUUAUCGAUCAAGGAGACUGAACGUAGGGCACUUACAAAAUAGGCCAGCACUUAGUAACACAAGAUCUGAUAGGAGCUUGGGAGGGCAUGAUAAACAAUAUAUACGGAUGACAAAGUCAAGUAUAGUAAAUGAUCUAAGAGGCUUAUCAAUUUUAUAUUCAGUGCAGAUACUGCAAAACACUCUUCUCUGAACCAUCUUCCCCUCUUUCACAUAUUACAAUCAAAAACUAUGUUAUUUUAUUGUUACCCAAGUUCUAGUUUUACCACAUUAUGGGAGGGACAAGAUCUCAAUUGAUUAAAGAAAGGAAGAGGACAGAAGUAGACCUCACUGAAGUAAUUAAACUACAGGAGUCAGUCAAUGACCCCUUAGGUUGGCUCCACCAUUUAAUAUUAAGAUCAGCACUGGGUAUUGCAACUUAGAAACUGUAUACUGUCCAAAAAAGAGUAUAUCUGGAUAUUAACAGGACAGAAAGGAAUAAAUUGCAAGAAGAGAUAUUAUGAAGGAUUGUACUCUCCAAUAUUCAGAAGCCUGCACAGUGAUUUUUAGAACUUUUAAAAAUAGAUACAGAUGGUGAAGAAGUAGGAUAGAUAGAGAAACUGUUUCUGUUGGAUUCGGAGUGAGAGGUAUAGUCACAAAAUUAGGGCGAGACACUUCAAUAGUAGAAUUAGGAAACACUUGUAUGCACAGAAGGUGGCAGAAAAUCAGACCCUCCUCUUAAACAGUAAUUGAUGUUAGGCCAAUCACUAAGUUUAAAUCUGAGCUUCACAGAUUUUUGUGAUGUUACUGUUUAACGGAAAGAGGUGAGAUUUUGGAUGAGGCAAAACAACAGCUAUAACCCAAACAGAGCUAGAACCACACUGAUCAAGGGAGUUCUCCACCACUUUCAAACCCUUCCCCUGCUAACCUUUGUCUGUCAGUUCACAAUUCCACAGAGAAAGAUACAAUUCAAGAGCAGGCCAUUCAGCAUGUUAUUUUUUUUUGUAAUUCCAAAACAAACUGAAAGGAAACCAUGGAGCCGGGGAGAAGAGUCUACUUCAUUCCUACUUUAGAGAGGCGAGCACAUAUGAUGUGGUGGCAUAAUGACAUAAGCCAUUCAUGUACUUUUACAUAUAACCCAUAAUGAAUUAUAUAAACAGCAAAAAAAAACUUAAUAAAACAAUAUAUUUACAAUAUUACUCAAAUAUUAAAUACACAACACUCCCUGCUUAGCUAUAAAUUCCAACUCAAUAUAGACUGCAUCUCAACUUAAACACGUAAUGUAUUCCUCUCUAGUCCUCUCUCUCUUGUGAGAUAACGCCUUUCCUGACAAGGAGUUCACUCUGCUUGAACCAAUCUCAGUUUCUGGGGCCUCCUCCAUAGUGUUGUAGGAGUUGACUCUGGGACUGCAGGAAGUGCUUGUGACAGCUCUAGACACCUUUCUUCUCCAACAAUCAACUCUGCUCUUCUUAACUGAUCCAUGUGUUGUCUCCAGAUGAAUUUAGAGGAUCCACUCAACCUUGGAAAGAACUCCUUCAACCUUUUGUAAAUCUAGCUCACUGGCUACUUUAUCAAGGAUGGUAUAAGGAACUGGAUGAGCUUUUCAAAAUUGGGUGUGGCAUUUUUAUUUACCACUAUUUUACCCUUAAUAUAUUUGAGUUUUCCAAUGCCAUCCUUGUACACUGCUACGACAACAUCCAGUACCUUUCUUAAUUUGCUUUCGGUUUACUCUUUUGCAGGGGAUGUGGCACGCAAAUGGUGGAUGGAUCUCCAAUCAAGUUGUAGCUGUCUCAGCCAAUCACAACCCCACAAUACUGGCCCUUUUGAUCUUACCACAUACAAGCCCAAUGUGGCUUGUUAGUUGUUGCAUCUCACUGUUGCAAAAAUGUCAUUCCCACAGGAGUUAUCUUUUCUCCAGUACAAGUUCUUAGUUGGAUAUCUGCUGGUUUCAAUUCAGUAUCUUUGAAAUGCCAACCAAAUUCAUUUUGCCGAAUGACUGAAACAGCUGAGCCAGUGUCUAAUCCCAUUCUAUUUAAUAUGCUGUUCACUUCUGGUUGUAAGCCAUAUUGCUCGUCUAUUAGUUAUCACAUUGUAAAUCUCGAGGCUACACAGUCCUGUGUCACUCUCAGAUUUUUCAUCAACAGCAUUCAGAUUCAUGCUCUUUUUGCAACUGCAACUUGACUUUUUAAUCAUUUUCUCUUUUCUGCAUAAUCCAUUUAUUUUUGUCUGCCCUAAGUGCUCUUUGUAUGUGUACAUUUUCUGCAAGUUUCACCUUUAAAUCUGCAAUGGCUUGUUCUAUGUGAAUCCCUGCCAUAAUGGUAACACAAUUUGUUCAGCCAGGCUAGCUUCUGUCCAGAUGCUGCAAUUUUGUUCACGCUCACCUUCAGUCCUGACUGCAACUCAAUUGUCUGCUGUUUCCAUUGAUGCAGCAAUUUGAACUGUUCUUUUAAAUGUAAGUUGUGCUUCAGUUAGAAGCCAUUUCUGAAUGUGUUCUCGUACAAUUCCACAAACUAAACAAUCUCAGUGCAUCAUUAAGCCCAUCUCUGAACUGAUAAUACUCAGAUAAUUUCCUCAAUUUCAGCAAACUGAAAUGGACUCCCCUUCCUUUUGAUUCAGCUUAUGAAAACUAAAGCAUUCUAUAAUCAACAGUGGUUUCUGUUCUAAAUGUUCCUGCAUCAUGUUCAUGAUAUCAGCAAAACUCAUUUCGGCUGGUUUGGUUGGAGGAGUCAAACUAAAUGUUCUUCUGCCAACUGCACUCAGAAAAACUGACACUCAUUUAUCAUUGGCUAUUUCACUUGCUUCACAAUAUUGCUCAAUUUGCUCAGUGUACAAAAUCCAGUUAUCUUUUGUGCAAUCAAACAUCUCUAUCUUUCUGAAGUAGCUAGCAAUUUCAGCAGUUUUAUUAUCACCUGGUACUCGUGUUUAUGAACCCGUGAAAUUUGUCUGCUUUUUGCCAUUUAUUUUAACUCAACUGUCUUUCUCUCCGCUGAAGAAAAAAAGCACACAGUGCUUUUUAAAAAACUUGAAUGUCUCACUGUGCUUCAACGUCUCAGGAUUCUACAGAGUCUCAGAGCUCCGACAACCCAACUUCUAUCCCGACUCCAGGUGUCAUGUGUGGAGUGUGUACGUUCUCCUGUGAACACAUGGAUUUUCCCCGAGUGCUUCAAGAUCCCGAAGGUUAACUGCUGCUGCUAAUUACUGCUCAGUGUAGGGAAACAGAAGAAGAAUCACAGUGGAGUUGGUGAGCAGCUGUGGCCUCUGGAACGAUCCGAGCUUAUGUCAGCCAAGUGAGCAUUUCUCAAGGACUGAACCUGCAACCUGCCAAAUUUCCUUCAACAGCGUCCCCAAGCUUGCGACCUUGAACGGGAAAAUGGGAGCAACUGCACAGGGAUUCCGUGACCUUCCAACUCACACACUAUACUUAAGCUUUUGUUCAUAUGUCACCAUUCCUUUUAUGAGUCAAAAUCUUGGAACUCUUUAUCCAGUGCUGUGGGGGAUAUUUUCACCAGGUGGCAAGAAGAGGACAGUUCACGAUUUCCUCAAACUGAGAUAAACAAUGUAUUGUUCACAUCCUAAGCAAGGACAUGGUUCUAUAAUUGGUUAAAUUGCACUCAAGCCUCGACACUGGACGCCAGUCCCAGGUUAUAACACCUGACUUCCGGACCUUCCUACAUAUGAAUGAAUCCCAUCACAUAUUGACUAUGUUGUCAUUGGAGAGUUCAGAGGAGGUACACGAGGGUGAUUCUGGGAAUGAAGGGGUUAACAUAUGAGGAGCGUGCAGCAGCUUUGGGCCUGUACUCACUGGAAUUUGGAAGAGUGCGUGGGGAUCGCAUUGAAACCUACCGAAUGUUGCAAGGAUUAGAUAAGUUGGAUGUGGAGAAGAUGUUUCUUCUAGUCAGUUUAUCCAGAACUGGAGAGCACAGCCUCAAAGUUGAGGGACGACCUUUUAGAACAGAGGUAAGGAGGAGUAUUUUUGGCCAGAGAGUAGUGACUCUCUGCCACAGACUGCAGUGGAGGCCAAGUCCAUGAGCAUGUUUAAAGCGGAAUUUUAUAUCUUCCUGAUUGGUCAAGGCAUCAAAGGAUAUAGCGAGAAGGUAGGCGUAGGCGUAUGCGGUUGAGUGGGAUCUGGGAUCAGCCGCAAUGGAAUGGCAGAAUAGAUUCAAUGGGCUGAACAGCCUUGUAUGUUAUAGACAAAACUGACUUAUGAAUGUCUGUUUAAACAGAACCCACUCUUGACAGUCCGUACUUCAAAGCACAUCACUGUCGUGUCACGUACUGGCCUGUGAUAGUUCUGGUUAGCAGGACAUUGUCUAAGGUUCACAAUUCACUGGCACAGAAAUAUUCCCUGGCAGAUUUACUGUAUACAUCAAAUUAUGGUAUAAUUGUCAAAUAAGUUUUAUUUGCAAGUAACAAGCCCUGAAAUAUGUGCACUUGCAGUCCCAUGCUGUGAGUAUUGCAUGAUACAAAACCCAUUGAAAGCAUUCACAGACAUCCUAACAAUAGAACAACACAGUGGCUUCUCUAAAUACAAGGCAAAACAGCACCAACUAACCACUGUGCAGAACAAGAGGGAGCAGCCAUCCACCCACAGGUCUGUGCAAAAUUGAUUCUGUUCCAACCAGUAUGGAAAUACAACUAGUUUAUAGGUUUGGCUGUUAAGUUUACCCUAAAUACUCAGCUUCUGAUGAGAGAGAAGGAAGACCACUUAGCAAAGCAAGUUUAGGGCAUGUGAAAUGGUGACUAAACAAGAAUCUGCAUCAUACACAGUAACAACUUACAGUAUGCACAAGAUAAUGCACAUCAGCACAUCUUCCACCUGACAGGAAACAUGCAACAAAUACAAAGACGGCAAUGAGUAAAUCUAUCUGCUGUUCAAAGUAAUCAGUCAAUUCUUACUGGCUUGGCCCCAUUUUGGAUAAAAUCCUGGAACCUGCUCUACUAACAUGUAGUUAGAAAACUUUGACAGAACUUCUCUCUCAUUCUCUAA